UACGUAGGGUGCGAGCGUUGUCCGGAAUUAUUGGGCGUAAAGAGCUCGUAGGCGGUGUGUCACGUCGGCCGUGAAAACCUGGGGCUCAACUCUGGGCGUGCGGUCGAUACGGGCAUCACUAGAGUUCGGCAGGGGAGACUGGAAUUCCUGGUGUAGCGGUGAAAUGCGCAGAUAUCAGGAGGAACACCGGUGGCGAAGGCGGAUCUCUGGGCCUUACCUGACGCUCAGGCACGAAAGCUAGGGGAGCGAACAGG
rnacentral:rRNA from 1 species